UAUCGGAGAGGGUAAAUCUUUUGCAGACGACUGAAAUACGGAACGGGGUAUUGUGCGUCGCAGAGUAGCCUUGCUGUUACGAUCGACUGAGAUUAAGCCUCUUUUG
rnacentral:rRNA from 1 species